rnacentral:rRNA from 1 species
AGCGAACGCUGGCGGCAGGCCUAACACAUGCAAGUCGAACGAAGUCUUCGGACUUAGUGGCGGACGGGUGAGUAACACGUGGGAACGUACCUUUUGGUUCGGAACAACUCAGGGAAACUUGAGCUAAUACCGGAUGAGCCCUUAGGGGGAAAGAUUUAUCGCCGAAAGAGCGGCCCGCGUUAGAUUAGCUAGUUGGUGAGGUAAAGGCUCACCAAGGCUACGAUCUAUAGCUGGUCUGAGAGGAUGAUCAGCCACUCUGGGACUGAGACACGGCCCAGACUCCUACGGGAGGCAGCAGUGGGGAAUCUUGCGCAAUGGGCGAAAGCCUGACGCAGCCAUGCCGCGUGAAUGAUGAAGGUCUUAGGAUUGUAAAAUUCUUUUACCAGGGACGAUAAUGACGGUACCUGGAGAAAAAGCUCCGGCUAACUUCGUGCCAGCAGCCGCCGUAAAAC